GGGGUGGUGGUGGUGGUGAUUAGCACGGCUCUAGUACAUGUCAAUUUUGUGAAUCAGGUGAUUUUGUCCGGGAAGAAAACCAAUCGAUUCGUCCUACUUGUAGUGGAAUUUAUGCUCUAGCAAGUAAAUGAUGAAACAAUAUUAGAUACAAGCUUUAGAAGUCUAAAUGCAUGAAAAGACAGUUCAUGGUAUUUGUAACAAGAACAUAUCAAUUGGCACACAAGUUACAAGAUUUUCAAUCUCAAAA